GGCAGAAUUAGUAGAAGUUGUGGUGGUCAUGAAAGCAGACUAAGAACAGGUCCCCAGCACCUUAGGCGACUAAUACCAUGUUAACAUCUGCGGUAAGUUGCCAAUCUAUUGUGUAUUAAACAAAUGAAAUUGUACCAAGUGUUAAAAGAAUAGAAUGAAAAUGUAUUAAGUACUGAAAGUAUUCUUUUGUAUUUAGUCUUACCUUUUCCAGUUUGUUCAUUAUAGCAGUAGUAUUUAUAAAACAUAUGAGUAACUGCUAUUGCUAACAACUUAAAUACUUGAAUAACAAACUAACAGCUAAUAGGCUAGCUCAACAACAGAGUUAGCUAGCAUAGGCCUUAUCUAUAUUCUUAACAGGCAUGUUCGACUGAGGAUACCACAAGGGUGGAAGUAGAACUGAGUUUAAGAAGCAUGAUGAGGCAGUGUUUUUUCGAGAGUUGCCACGUUGAACGAUGUGGGAAUGGGCCAUGUUGAUGCAAGUUACCCAGAAUAAGAAGCUUAGGAGGGCCUGGAGGAAGUUUACCCUUUUUGUGGUUAAUGUCUUUCUGAAUAUCAGCAAUAGAGAGAGCAAUAAGAGAAAGGGAAUUAACAACAUUGUUAUGGAGAUUGGGGAAUAAGACUGAAAAAGUGGAAGUUAUUCUAAAUGAGUUUCUUCAACACCUUAGCCGCCGAACAAGAUUCCUUCAACAAUUAUUAUAUAGUAUCUAUUGACGGUGAAUAGACUUGUUGAUAAGUCCUGUUGGGCUGUUUCAGUCAGAAGAUUCUUGGCCACAAAAUUCUUGCGCAGCCUAGGUGGCGAGUUGUAAAUAGUGCCGAUUUUAGUAGAGAAUUUUAAGAAAACAUGUUGAUUUCAAAUAAAAUUUAGUGGAAUAGUAGAAGCACAAAAAUUUGUGUUUUUA
rnacentral:lncRNA from 1 species